CUAAUGUCAUGUUAAUUAUUUCAUAUGUUAAUGUGUACAUGCUUCUGAAGUGUGUGCAAGGCAUUCUGCCUCUAGCUUUGUUCUUUGCAGUGUACUUGAAAUGUGCAUUUACCCCAAUAGAACUGCUCACCCGUCAUGUGGUCCAUAUCUGUGUAACGAAAGAUACAUAGAUGUGUAUGGCUACUGUAUAUUUGUAAGCAAGCGGAAUGUUCAUUACUAAUAUAAAUUAGGAAUUAUGGUGUGUUUAACAUCCCAAUAACUAUUAUUCAUGGCAGAGCGUUAAUUUUAAAUGAUUUUUCAUGUAUUAUAGUACUGCCAAAUCUGUCGAAAGGGAGAUAAUGAAGAACUGCUUCUUCUUUGUGAUGGCUGUGACAAAGGCUGUCAUACCUACUGCCAUAGACCCAAGAUUACAACAAUCCCAGAUGGAGACUGGUUUUGUCCAGCUUGCAUUGCUAAGGCAAGUGGUCAAACUCUAAAAAUCAAAAAACUUCAUGUCAAAGGAAAAAAGACUAAUGAGUCAAAGAAAGGCAAGAAGGUAACUUUAACAGGAGAUACUGAAGAUGAAGACUCUGCAUCUACAAGUAGUUCACUAAAAAGAGGAAACAAAGACCUCAAGAAAAGAAAAAUGGAGGAAAACACUUCUAUUAACUUGUCAAAACAAGAAAGUUUUACUUCAGUUAAGAAACCUAAAAGAGAUGACUCCAAGGACCUAGCUCUUUGCAGUAUGAUUCUGACUGAAAUGGAAACUCAUGAGGAUGCAUGGCCUUUUCUACUUCCUGUAAACUUGAAACUUGUUCCUGGUUAUAAGAAAGUUAUUAAGAAGCCUAUGGAUUUUUCCACAAUUAGAGAGAAACUAAGUAGUGGACAGUACACAGUAGGUGUAUAUAUUUAUGGACUACAUGAGAUACAGGCAUGCAAUGCAUAAUAAUCACAUCAUGGAAAAUUGGGUAUUCAUCACCUCAAGCAUUUAUCCUUUGUGUUACAGAUAAUCCACUUCUACUCUUUUACUUAUUUUAAAGUGUACAAUUAAACUAUGA
rnacentral:lncRNA from 1 species